CUCCGGUUGAUCCUGCCGGACCUGACUGCUAUCGGAUUGGUACUAAGCCAUGCGAGUCAUUGUAGCAAUACAAGGCGGACGGCUCAGUAACACGUAGUCAACCUAACUCGUGGACGUGGAUAACCUCGGGAAACUGAGAAUAAACCACGAUAGAUCAUAGUGCCUGGAAUGGCUUAUGGUCCAAACAGUUUACUGCCAUGGGAUGGGACUGCGGCCUAUCAGCUUGUUGGUGAGGUAAUGGCCCACCAAGGCGAUUACAGGUACGGGCUCUGAGAGGAGAAGCCCGGAGAUGGGUACUGAGACACGGACCCAGGCCCUAUGGGGCGCAGCAGGCGAGAAACCUUAGCAAUGUGCGAAAGCACGACUGGGUCAGUCCGAGUGAUUCCUGAUAAAGGAGUCUUUUGCUUGUCCUAAAAGCACAGGUGAAUAAGGGGUGGGCAAGUCUGGUGUCAGCCGCCGCGGUAAUACCAGCACCUCGAGUGGUCAGGACGUUUAUUGGGCCUAAAGCAUCCGUAGCCGGCUCUGCAAGUCUUCGGUUAAAUCCACCUGCUCAACAGAUGGGCUGCUGGAGAUACUACAGAGCUAGGGAGUGGGAGAGGCAGACGGUAUUCAGUGGGUAGGGGUAAAAUCCUCUGAUCCAUUGAGGACCACCAGUGGCGAAGGCGGUCUGCCAGAACACGCUCGACGGUGAGGGAUGAAAGCUGGGGGAGCAAACCGGAUUAGAUACCCGGGUAGUCCCAGCUGUAAACGAUGCAGACUCGGUGAUGAGUUGGCUUAUUGCUAACUCAGUGCCGCAGGGAAGCCGUUAAGUUUGCCGCCUGGGGAGUACGGUCGCAAGACUGAAACUUAAAGGAAUUGGCGGGGGAGCA
rnacentral:rRNA from 1 species